UAACCAAAGCCUCAAGGAAAUAUUUAGUUACAACACAUUUGGUCCCCAGAAGAAUAAGUAGUCUUUUUCUUUUUAGAAAUUGUAAAUUCACUUAUAUGAGAACAUUGAGAUGAUGAAAUUCUCAUACCAACGGUCUACCAUUUUUCCAUGACAUUAUAGAUUUUAAAAUGAGCUUGGAGGAAAAAAAUUCUUAAAUGUUUCAGAUCUAAUGUUUUAUAAUUUUUGAAAUGACUUUUUUUCUCUUUUUUUUUAAAUAGCAAAAGGAAAGAAGCGUUUGCAUGAAGAGUCCGAUAGCGACGGAAGUGAUCAGGAUCGAGGCUCACCAGAAAGAGCAUCAAAUGAAACAUCAAAAGGCGGCUCCCUUUACAGACGUAAAAGACAGGCUAUCCAUCAUCUCGCUGGUUUCAUUAAAACAAUGGCAGCAGGCUUGACAUUAGAAGAAAUCCUGCCAUUAAGCUUACUUCUCAUUCAAAACAUGGACCAGUUCAUCAAAUCUAAAAAGGUAAACCAUCAUAAAGCCAUUAACUAUAAGGCUCUAAGGUCAUAGAGGAACAAGUUUUGUAAAUAGUUGAAACAUGCAGAAAAUGAAAACAGCAUGCCUGAGAUCAAAUUUAAAACCAGGACAUUCAUUUAUCUUUAUUCAUAAUCAACUCUAAACUGUUGCCAAAACAUCUCUUUAAAAAGUUACUGAUUGCUAUUAAUGACAACAUUUAUCAUCAAAAGACUUGGUCUCUUGGCCUUUUGAAUGUGUGCUGGCGUUUCCCUAUCAGAUACAUUGAGAUUGAAAUAAUCGGUGGGCUUGGCCAGCCACAAGUCUAAGUUGGCCUCAAAUCAGUGACUUUCUGCUCCAUAGUAAUGCGCACUAACCAAAGCCUCAAGGAAAUAUUUAGUUACAACACAUUUGGUCCCCAGAAGAAUAAGUAGUCUUUCUUCUUUUAGAAAGUGUAAAUUCAGUUAUAUGAGAACAUUGAGAUGAUGAAAUUCUCAUACCAACGGUCUACCAUUUUUUCCAGACAACAGCACAAGAGGAAGGAUGCCAGAAAGAAGAGACCCCGAAGGAAGAGGGACAAACUGCCCCCAUGCCCUAGGCAUAGAGGAACAAGUUUUGUAAAUAGUUGAAACAUGCAGAAAAUGAAAACAGCAUGCCUGAGAUCAAAUUUAAAACCAGGACAUUCAUUUAUCUUUAUUCAUAAUCAACUCUAAACUGUUGCCAAAACAUCUCUUUAAAAAGUUACUGAUUGCUAUUAAUGACAACAUUUAUCAUCAAAAGACUUGGUCUCUUGGCCUUUUGAAUGUGUGCUGGCGUUUCCCUAUCAGAUACAUUGAGAUUGAAAUAAUCGGUGGGCUUGGCCAGCCACAAGUCUAAGUUGGCCUCAAAUCAGUGACUUUCUGCUCCAUAGUAAUGCGCACUAACCAAAGCCUCAAGGAAAUAUUUAGUUACAACACAUUUGGUCCCCAGAAGAAUAAGUAGUCUUUCUUCUUUUAGAAAUUGUAAAUUCAGUUAUAUGAGAACAUUGAGAUGAUGAAAUUCUCAUACCAACGGUCUACCAUUUUUCCAUGACAUUAUAGAUUUUAAAAUGAGCUUGGAGGAAAAAAAUUCUUAAAUGUUUCAGAUCUAAUGUUUUAUAAUUUUUGAAAUGACUUUUUUUCUUUUUUUUUUUAAAUAGCAAAAGGAAAGAAGCGUUUGCAUGAAGAG